rnacentral:lncRNA from 1 species
AGAGCACCCCACCCGUUGGGACCUGACGCGGCGAGCUGCUCGGUCUUCCUGCACAGGCUUCGCCAGGCUCUCCUGCUCCAAGUUUCCCAAACACUAGCCGCCAGGAGCGUUGCUUCUCAACCUAGGAUUCCCGAGGGUCUGUGCCACUCUCAUCUGGCCAGGAGCGCCCUAGCUUGAGAUCCACGAGCCGAGAGUAGGGCCCACUUCCACCCCUACCCCUUUUUCCCGGGGAAAGGGAAAAGGGACCAUAGGCCCGGGUGGGGUAGAAGCUGGGGGUCAUCACCUGUUUAAAGACGCUGCCAUGUCUUACCUUGAUGUAAGACGACGUGUCGGGGACUGUCUGAAACAUCGUGGGUAGCUAAGGGUCGGGAACGCCCAAGAACCAGCCUGGGAGGGAGAAGCCUCGGUUACCCGCGAGUGGAGCGAGGGAGAGACGGUGGGAUGGUGAUGAAGUGGGGAUGCAGAUGGAGAGACUGUAGGGGUUUGGGAAGCUCAGAUCCGCCUAGUCCGGCGAGGGAGGGUCCGAGUGGUUGGGUGUUGAGCACUCUCCCUACGCCUCAGUCCCGUCCCCGGGCUUCAGGCCAGGGGACGGUGAGAACUGAGAGCCACCUCACACCAUUGGGUCUCCUCCCUACAGUCCUUUUACUCUCCCCUGCCCGAAAUCAGACUGCCGCCUCCCCCAGGGCCUGGGCAGUUUCGAACUGGGGAUGCCCGCAGCUUGUUCUGGAAACCAGGAUGUUCUAGUUCUUGGUGCGUGUUGAGGAGAGAACGCGACCAGGACAGAGGAGGAUAUGGCCAACUCCCUUUGUCACCUGGAGCCUUCAAUUCACCGGAAGAAAAUUGCUGAAAUUGGCAACAGCUGCCAUGAAACAGGAGCAAGAGAGAGGCAGCUGGGGGCAGGGAGGACUCAUUAAAGCCAACUUACCCCUCAAAAGGGAGAAUGGGGUGGGGAGGGGGUUCUUGCCCCACAGUUAUGCUCCCUCGCCAGCCUAUACCAAGCUGCUUCCCUGGGCCAUAGAUUUGCAAUGCAGAGCCUGGGUAGAAAGAGACUCUCGUGUGGAGGUUACAGCAGCAAGAGAUUGGAAUCCAAGAAGGGCACUCCAGUAGGAGAGCAGGAGAAGAUAUCUGGGCAGUGCCCCUCUGAAUCAUCCAUGCACUCCAUCAUUCUGAGCAAGACAAUUAGGACUUAGCUUCCUUCUUUGGCAAAUGAGAGGGCUACAUUAUAUCAUCAUGAAAUACUUUCAAAUUUGAACAUGCUAUACUUCUGUAAGAUUAUUUAGCCCGGGGAAAGGAUAUGAACAUAAGGCAAAUUAAUGUUCUAGGAUUAGGAACUUUGGGUUCCAGUCUUGGUUGUGCUCCUGAUGACGGGCACUAUGGGCUGAAUUUUAUCACUUCCAAAUUCACAAGUUGAAGCCCUAAGCUCCAAUACUUCAGAAUGUGACGCUGAUGGGAUACAGGGCCUUAGAAAGGGUGAACAAGGUAAAAUGAGAUCAUAGGGUGGGCCAUUAUCCACUAUGACUGGUGUCCUUAUAAGAAGAGGAGAUUAGGUCACAGACAUGUGCGAUUACAGAGGAAAGCCCGUGUGAGCACACAGUGCAAAAGCAGCCACCGACUAGCCAAGAAGGGAGACCUCAGAAGACAUCAACUUGCUGAUAACUUGAUCAUGGACUUUCAGCCUCCAGAACUUCGAGGAAAUCAAUUUCUGAUGCUCCAGCCACGAAAUCUAUGGUACUCUGUAUGGCAGCUCUAGUAAACCAAUACAACUGUGGAAUAAUAUUUUGCCAUGAUUUGGUUUCUCCAAGUAAGUAAAAGGGAAUAAACAAUGGUGACUCGUUUCACUCAACCCUUCUAGAACCUACUCUGAUGAUCAGUAUCUAUUAUGAACCCACAAUGUGUUUUGUUUUGUUUGUUUUGCUUUGCCAUGUGUGGCUUUGUGUAUAAAGCAAAGCAGUGCUCCUGUCUUUAUGGUUCUUUUCACUCCACAUAAAAUCCAAAACCACCCUGA